UACGUAGGGGGCAAGCGUUGUCCGGAUUUAUUGGGCGUAAAGAGCGUGUAGGCGGUUAGGUAGGUCCGUUGUGAAAACUCCAGGCUCAACCUGGAGACGCCACCUGAUACUGCUGUGGCUAGAGUCCGGUAGGGGAGCAUGGAAUUCCUGGUGUAGCGGUGAAAUGCGCAGAUAUCAGGAAGAACACCCGUGGCGAAGGCGGCUCUCUGGGACGGUACUGACGCUGAGACGCGAAAGCGUGGGGAGCGAACAGG
rnacentral:rRNA from 1 species